UACGUAGGGGGCAAGCGUUGUCCGGAAUCAUUGGGCGUAAAGCGCGUGUAGGCGGCUCGAUAAGUCUGCUGUGAAAGUCCAGGGCUCAACCCUGGGAUGCCGGUGGAUACUGUCGAGCUCGAGUCCGGAAGAGGAGUGUGGAAUUCCUGGUGUAGCGGUGAAAUGCGCAGAUAUCAGGAGGAACACCAAUGGCGAAGGCAGCACUCUGGACCGGUUCUGACGCUCAGGCGCGAAAGCGUGGGGAGCGAUCAGG
rnacentral:rRNA from 1 species